UGCGUGCGCUUGCUUUCCGACAAAACGAGACUCGAGUUCUGGGUCAGGCCAUUGUGCAGCUGAAACACUGGCAGGUGGCCAGCCUGAGAAGUCAAAGAACUUUCUCAGCUCUCUGGACGUCUCACAAAAGGAAUCUUUGUUAACGACCUUGAUAGAAGAUAAAGGUCAUUGCUAAUCCCAGCUGCGCGCUCAGGGAGAGCUGGGAAACAGGAGUUGGAACACAAAUCGUGCUUACUGCCUUAAGCCAAAACUCUGCUGGAAAAGCAACACAGAACCUGGCACCAGCAAGCUGAUGUUCUGAAAACCAGCCUCUCUCCAGCGAGAGGAGGGCGAGCCGGCAGAGGAAGAUCAGGAAUGCCGGCUCAGAGCAGGUGAAAUGCUACGAGUGGGCACCCCGGGAGUGGAGGGCGCCGACACGCAGAGCCUGGGACACUGGCGGAAUUCGUGGGCCCGUCCACGUCGGGCGCUCCCUGGCCAGUCCGCGGUAACCGAAGCAGCCAGCGGUUGCACGUGAGAGUGAAGGCUCUACCCGCCGAGAGGACGGCAGAUCCCUAACAGCAGCACAAGCGGCCGCGGCCGGCUUGCCACGUCCGACCCUCUGGGCCGCGAAAGUCCUCGGGAAACCGCGGCUCCGCACCGAGCGAACGCGGGCUGCUCGUCCCUGUCCUGAGCCUGCAACCCAGCGACGCUCUGGGCGGUCCCGGUGCUGCCUCGGGCGCCGUGCGCGACCCGCAGGCACGCGGAGGGCGCGCGUGCAGAGACGGCGCCCAGGGUCGGCUGCAGGUGACCCGCCGUCCACCCUCCCACGGUCUGCGGCCGGCUCUGCGCGUGCGCGGCGGCCACGUCCAGCCAGCCGAAGCGGCGUCCCACAGCGCCGCCUGCUGGUCGGAGGGAAGGCGACACCGAGGGCCCCGGCUCCCGGAAGUGCUCUCGAGGCUGCGCGGCGCGUCUCUGAGCACUGGCUCCGCGUCUAAGCCGGCUCCUUCAACGUGACGUUACACCCGAAAGCCUCAGACUAAACACGACGCUUAACAAAGCACCCGCUUCCCGGGCCCGCCGCGCGUCCAGGCGGUUAUCGCGCGCGCACGCCCCGUCAGAGCGACCGAGCAACGGCUGAGCGCGCGGCCCCGCCCCCGCGCGAUGCCCGGAUGCAGUUCCCGGCCCCUGGCCGCGCUGGCGCCGCCCCCGCGCGGUGCCCGGAUGCCGCUCCCGGCCCCUGGCCGCGCUGGCGCCGCCCCCGCGCGGUGCCCGGAUGCAGUUCCCGGCCCCUGGCCGCGCUGGCGCCGCCCCCGCGCGGUGCCCGGAUGCAGUUCCCGGCCCCUGGCCGCGCUGGCGCCGCCCCCGCGCGGUGCCCGGAUGCCGCUCCCGGGCCCUGGCGGUGCGGGUGCCCGGAUGCCGCUCCCGGCCCCGUCCGCUCUGGGCAGCGCGGGGGUGGACGUUGCGGGCGGAGCCGGCCGGUGGGCGCUGUGUCCUCUGUGUCUCCUGGAUACAUUUUUGCAGAAUGUACAGCUCACAGCCUGUGUAUAGGGCCCUUGAUGAUUUAUAAAGACCCUAAUAAAACUUCGCAUACUCGUCUCCGA